UUACCACCAUUACCACCAAACACCACCAUUACCACCAAACACCACCAUUACCACCAUUACCACCAAACACCACCAUUACCACCAAACACCACCAUAACCAGCAGACACCACCAUUACCACCGAACACCACCAUAACACCACUAACACAACGCACACCUCAAACACCGCCGUUACCAUCACAAACACCAGUAACGCGGUUAACGGCUAACGAUCUUCACAUCGACGCUGUCCAGGUAAUGAACUGAUUAGUGAAAGUGUGUGCUGUUUAAAAUAAAUAAAA
ensembl:lncRNA